CCUACGGGGGGCUGCAGUGGGGAAUAUUGGACAAUGGGGGCAACCCUGAUCCAGCAAUGCCGCGUGUGUGAAGAAGGCCUUCGGGUUGUAAAGCACUUUUGUUGGGGAGGCUGUACCCAAAGAAUAAGCACCGGCUAACUCUGUGCCAGCAGCCGCGGUAAUACAGAGGGUGCGAGCGUUAAUGGAAUUACUGGGCGUAAAGGGCGCGUAGGCGGUUAUAUAAGUUAGAUGUGAAAUCCCUGGGCUUAACCUAGGAACUGCAUCUAAGACUGUAUGACUAGAGUGCAGUAGAGGAUAGUGGAAUUUCCGGUGUAGCGGUGAAAUGCGUAGAUAUCGGAAGGAACACCAGUGGCGAAGGCGGCUAUCUGGCUACACUGACGCUGAGGCGCGAAAGCGUGGGUAGCAAACAGGAUUAGAUACCCUUGUAGUC
rnacentral:rRNA from 1 species